rnacentral:sRNA from 1 species
CAUUACCAUACACUAUGUUAAUGUAAGAAGAGGAGAAAGAGUGGUAAAGUUACUUAAAGUCACCCAGCUAGUAAAUGCUCCAUGGCCAAGCGCAGAAACACACCAUGACUGGGCUUGUUCUCCCUCCUUCCUUGCUUUCCCUGAGCAGGAAAGAGCCAGUGGCAGUAUCAUGUUCAGUGAGAUGCAGGGACGAGAGGGGGAAUGGAGAGAGGGACUUAGAUGACUGCUAUAGCCACUAUGCCAUGUUCCCAGGGACCCCCAGCCCUGGCGGUAAGUGUGGCACAGCUUGGCUGAUUCCCAUCCUGUUCCCACCCCAGAUCCAGGACUGAGAUCCCAGAACCAUGAACCUGGCCAUCAGCAUCGCUCUCCUGCUAACAGGUACCCAGCAUGGGGCAGGACUGGGGCUCCAGGCACCCUGGCUUCCUUCCCUCCAGAGAAGCAGCUUCUCCCUCACAGUCUCAGAAAAGCGCAGGUGACAAAGAGAGGGCUCUUUUUCAUCCCGAAGUCAGCCAAUCCACCGCGCUGAUAUUCUGACGGCCUGAGGUGGUUUUUGGAAACACAGUUUGCGGAGCCCUCCUUCACACUAUUGAACUAGAAUCCCCAACUGAGAAUCCAGAACCUGCAUCAACUCCCUAAGAUCUCCUGUCCUUGAAACACAUUGAUAGGAUCCAAGGCUCAAGCAGACUGGGGAGGGAGGCUGGGGUCUGCAAAGGAGAAGUGGGAUCCCUGGGGUGGGGAAAGGCACUCAGAGAGCAGACCCCGGUCCCCUCCCUAGCCAGGCCCAUCUCUCCACUUCAGGUGGGUGGGAGGCCCCUGCGCCGCAGGCCCCUCCAAUUUGAAGGAGGCACUGCUGGUGCCAGUCUUGCAGGUCUCCCGGGGGCAGAAGGUGACCAGCCUAACGGCCUGCCUAGUGGACCAGAGCCUUCGUCUGGACUGCCGCCAUGAGAAUACCAGCAGUUCACCCAUCCAGUACGAGUUCAGCCUGACCCGUGAGACAAAGAAGCACGUGCUCUUUGGCACUGUGGGGGUGCCUGAGCACACAUACCGCUCCCGAACCAACUUCACCAGCAAAUACAACAUGAAGGUCCUCUACUUAUCCGCCUUCACUAGCAAGGACGAGGGCACCUACACGUGCGCACUCCACCACUCUGGCCAUUCCCCACCCAUCUCCUCCCAGAACGUCACAGUGCUCAGAGGUGAGACAAGCCCCUAACAAGGUCAAGUGAGCUGGGAGAGCCAGGCUCGGGGACAGCAGGCAGUUCCCUUGGCUGGACUAGAGAGGAGAAUAGCCCCAUAACGCUCUCACCCUCUCCCAACUGCUGCCUGGUCAACUGGGGAACCAUUGCCUUCGGUGUGAAUGGGGUGAAGAGCUCAGGGCCAGUCAGACAGGCAGAGUAGUGUGGUUCCACCAGAACUGUGGGCAAGGCCUUUGGCCUCCCUAAUCUUCCUUCUCCCCAGCGGGAAAACAGGGAUGACACCACCUCCCUCAGCCAGUUUUCUUGUCAUGAUGUUUAGUAAGGUUUUCAUAAGAUGACACGUGUGCAAGAGAUCAGUAAUCUGCAAAUGGGAAAGAUGGCUGGUUCUGUGAGACCGGGCUGCUCCUGGUCCCAGCUAAGACAUUGCAGUACCCACCUCCCAAAGGGAGUACACCCUUGCUUUGGGCCUGUGCCUGCCUGAGUCCUGAUCCGUCUUCCUUCCUACCCCGCCCCUGGCCCCCUUCUCUUUCUGCAGACAAACUGGUCAAGUGUGAGGGCAUCAGCCUGCUGGCUCAGAACACCUCGUGGCUGCUGCUGCUCCUGCUCUCCCUCUCCCUCCUCCAGGCCACGGAUUUCAUGUCCCUGUGACUGGUGGGGCCCAUGGAGGAGACAGGAAGCCUCAAGUUCCAGUGCAGAGAUCCUACUUCUCUGAGUCAGCUGACCCCCUCCCCCCAAUCCCUCAAACUUUGAGGAGAAGUGGGGACCCCACCCCUCAUCAGGAGUUCCAGUGCUGCAUGCGAUUAUCUACCCACGUCCACGCGGCCACCUCACCCUCUCCGCACACCUCUGGCUGUCUUUUUGUACUUUUUGUUCCAGAGCUGCUUCUGUCUGGUUUAUUUAGGUUUUAUCCUUCCUUUUCUUUGAGAGUUCGUGAAGAGAGAAGCCAGGAUUGGGGACCUGAUGGAGAGUGAGAGCAUGUGAGGGGUAGUGGGAUGGUGGGGUACCAGCCACUGGAGGGGUCAUCCUUGCCCAUCGGGACCAGAGACCUGGGAGAGAGUUGGAUGAGGAGUGGUUGGGCUGUGCCUGGGCCUAGCACGGACACGGUCUGUCCUGACAGCACUCCUCGGCAGGCAUGGCUGGUGCCUGAAGACCCCAGAUGUGAGGGCACCACCAAGAAUUUGUGGCCUACCUUGUGAGGGAGAGAACUAAGCAUCUCCAGCAUUCUCAGCCACAACC